AUUCCCGUUUAUCCUGCGGGAGGUCGCUGCUAUCGGAGUUCGACUAAGCCAUGCAAGUCUAGCCUCGCAAGAGACUGGCGUAAGGCUCAGUAACACGUCGACAAUCUACCUUAUGGUUGGGGAUAACCUCGGGAAACUGAGGAUAAGCCCCGAUAGGGAAGUUUCGCUGGAAUGCAUUCUUCCUUAAAGGCAACGCCAUAAGAUGAGUCGGCGGCUGAUUAGGCUGUUGGUGAGGUAACGGCUCACCAAACCCGAGAUCAGUAUGGGGGAUGAGAGUCCUAGCCCAGAGAAGGACACUGAGAUAAGGGUCCU
rnacentral:rRNA from 1 species